CACCUUCUGGGUGGUGGCACUAUCCAUGAGGUACAGUUAUGGGUACAGCUGGAUUUGCAAAAUCACGCGAGAAUUGCGAGAUCUGGCACCAUUUGGCGAUGAAGAAGUGCUGCAUGGGAAGAGAGGAGUCUUUUUAAAGGUUUCUGCUUUAGAUUUGUGGACCACUUUCAGAGACGAGAAGUUUGUGCCAAGGCUUGAGGAGACGCCACCUUGACAUGAUUGAGGAUGAUAUAUGUGGCAGCAGUGGCACACUGACAAAAAUCACAACUGUUUUACGCAACGUCUGCUCAAAAGGGAUGAAACAUUUGGAGCAAAGACAGCAGAUGCACAUAGGAGGAGGAACAGGAUUUGUUGUAAUGGAUGAGAGCAAUUUCAGACAUAAAAGAAAGUAUGCAAGAGGCCGGUUUGGGGCUACAGGGCGGAGAAGGUCCUGGGUUUUCGGAAUGUUAGAAGUGAGAGGAAAUGACAGAAGGCCAUUUCUGAGCAGAAGAACAAGACAGGAGUUGGUCCCACUUGUUCACAAUAUGUCAAGUCCGGAAGCAACAUCAUCACAGAUUGUUGGAGAGCAUAUGAAAGACUAUCGCAAGAUGGUUACAUCCACUAUCAAGUGAACCAUAGGCGACACUUUGUGCAUCCUCAGACUGGUUGUCAUACACAGCAUGGCGUACCUACAAAGAGAACAUCUACUGCUUCAGGGGGAACUGAACACCCAUAGCUCUUAAAAUGAAUCUCAGAUUCAUUGAGUGGAACCACUGGUUGGCCAAAAGACACCACAAUGGAGUGGUUGGAUGCCUUUUUAAGGACACCAGGGCCUUAUUUAAGGUGUAAAUGUAAUUCAAAACAAAUGCUGUGUUUUCCUGUUGAAAACUUUGUAAAUGUUACUCCACCCCCCUUCCCCUACGUUUAAUGUCUUGGUUAAUGUAUUGUCCUUAAAUAUAAAAAGUGACAUUUAACUUGUUUGAUUAUUAAGUUGUACUUCUCUGCAGUUAUCGAUUAAUGGUGGCUUAAAAUAAAAAAAAAUGGACAUUUAG